UGGGGAAUAUUGCGCAAUGGGCGAAAGCCUGACCCAGCAACGCCGCGUGAAGGAUGAAGUAUUUCGGUAUGUAAACUUCGAAAGAAUAGGAAGAAUAAAUGACGGUACUAUUUAUAAGGUCCGGCUAACUACGUGCCAGCAGCCGCGGUAAUACGUAGGGACCAAGCGUUGUUCGGAUUUACUGGGCGUAAAGGGCGCGUAGGCGGCAAUUCAAGUCAUCUGUGAAAUCUCCGGGCUUAACUCGGAACGGUCAGAUGAUACUGCUUUGCUAGAGUGCAGAAGGGGCAAUCGGAAUUCUUGGUGUAGCGGUGAAAUGCGUAGAUAUCAAGAGGAACACCUGAGGUGAAGACGGGUUGCUGGGCUGACACUGACGCUGAGGCGCGAAAGCCAGGGGAGCAAACGGGAUUAGAUACCCUAGUAGUCCCUGAGCGGGCUGGCAAGGCGCAU
rnacentral:rRNA from 1 species